GACGAACGCUGGCGGCGUGCUUAACACAUGCAAGUCGAACGGAAAGGCCCUUCGGGGUACUCGAGUGGCGAACGGGUGAGUAACACGUGGGUGAUCUGCCCUGCACUUUGGGAUAAGCCUGGGAAACUGGGUCUAAUACCGAAUAUGAUCAUCGGCUUCAUGGUCGGUGGUGGAAAGCUUUUGCGGUGUGGGAUGGGCCCGCGGCCUAUCAGCUUGUUGGUGGGGUAAUGGCCUACCAAGGCGACGACGGGUAGCCGGCCUGAGAGGGUGACCGGCCACACUGGGACUGGGAUACGGCCCAGACUCCUACGGGAGGCAGGAGUGGGGAAUAUUGCACAAUGGGCGCAAGCCUGAUGCAGCGACGCCGCGUGAGGGAUGACGGCCUUCGGGAUGUAAACCUCUUUCAGCACAGACGAAGCGCAAGUGACGGUAUGUGAAGAAGAAGGACCGGCCAACUACGG
rnacentral:rRNA from 1 species